AGUGAACGCUGGCGGUAGGCCUAACACAUGCAAGUCGAACGGCAGCACAGUAAGAGCUUGCUCUUACGGGUGGCGAGUGGCGGACGGGUGAGGAAUACAUCGGAAUCUACUUUUUCGUGGGGGAUAACGUAGGGAAACUUACGCUAAUACCGCAUACGACCUACGGGUGAAAGCAGGGGAUCUUCGGACCUUGCGCGAUUGAAUGAGCCGAUGUCGGAUUAGCUAGUUGGCGGGGUAAAGGCCCACCAAGGCGACGAUCCGUAGCUGGUCUGAGAGGAAGAGUAGCCACACUGGAAAUGAGCCACGGUCCAGACUCCUAAGGGCGGCAGUAUAUGGGAAUAUUGGAAAAAGGGUGGAAGACUAAACCAGCCAAUCCGCGUGAGUGAAGAAGGCCUUCCGGUUUUAAAGACCUUUUGUUGGGAAAGAAAAGCAGCAGGUUAAUACCCCGCUGUUCUGACGGUACCCAAAGAAUAAGCACCGGCUAACUUCGUG
rnacentral:rRNA from 1 species